CCUACGGGGGGCAGCAGUGGGGAAUAUUGGACAAUGGGCGAAAGCCUGAUCCAGCCAUGCCGCGUGUGUGAAGAAGGCCUUCGGGUUGUAAAGCACUUUCAGUGGGGAAGAAAGCCUUGGGGCUAAUACCCUCGAGGAAGGACAUCACCCACAGAAGAAGCACCGGCUAACUCCGUGCCAGCAGCCGCGGUAAUACGGAGGGUGCGAGCGUUAAUCGGAAUUACUGGGCGUAAAGCGCGCGUAGGCGGUCUGAUAAGCCGGUUGUGAAAGCCCCGGGCUCAACCUGGGAACGGCAUCCGGAACUGUCAGGCUAGAGGGCAGGAGAGGAAGGUAGAAUUCCCGGUGUAGCGGUGAAAUGCGUAGAGAUCGGGAGGAAUACCAGUGGCGAAGGCGGCCUUCUGGACUGACACUGACGCUGAGGUGCGAAAGCGUGGGUAGCAAACAGGACUAGAUACCCCAGUAGUC
rnacentral:rRNA from 1 species